UACGUAGGUCCCGAGCGUUGUCCGGAUUUAUUGGGCGUAAAGCGUGCGCAGGCGGCCCGUUAAGACAGGUGUGAAAUCCCUGGGCUCAACCUAGGAAUUGCGCUUGUGACUGGCGGGCUCGAGUACGGUAGAGGGGGGUGGAAUUCCUGGUGUAGCAGUGAAAUGCGUAGAGAUCAGGAGGAACACCGAUGGCGAAGGCAGCCCCCUGGGCCUGUACUGACGCUCAUGCACGAAAGCGUGGGGAGCAAACAGG
rnacentral:rRNA from 1 species